rnacentral:tRNA from 1 species
GCCCUCGUAGCUCAGCGGAUAGAGCACCGGCCUCCGGAGCCGGUGGCGCAGGUUCGAGUCCUGCCGAGGGCG